rnacentral:rRNA from 1 species
UACGUAGGGUGCAAGCGUUGUCCGGAAUUAUUGGGCGUAAAGGGCUCGUAGGCGGUCUGUUGCGUCGGGAGUGAAAACUCAGGGCUCAACCCUGAGCGUGCUUCCGAUACGGGCCGACUAGAGGUAUGCAGGGGAGAACGGGAUUCCUGGUGUAGCGGUGGAAUGCGCAGAUAUCAGGAGGAACACCGGUGGCGAAGGCGGUUCUCUGGGCAUUACCUGACGCUGAGGAGCGAAAGCAUGGGGAGCGAACAGG